rnacentral:rRNA from 1 species
GACGAACGCUGGUGGCGUGCCUAAUACAUGCAAGUCGAGCGAGCGGAACUAACAGAUUUACUUCGGUAAUGACGUUAGGAAAGCGAGCGGCGGAUGGGUGAGUAACACGUGGGGAACCUGCCCCAUAGUCUGGGAUACCACUUGGAAACAGGUGCUAAUACCGGAUAAGAAAGCAGAUCGCAUGAUCAGCUUUUAAAAGGCGGCGUAAGCUGUCGCUAUGGGAUGGCCCCGCGGUGCAUUAGCUAGUUGGUGAGGUAAAGGCUUACCAAGGCGAUGAUGCAUAGCCGAGUUGAGAGACUGAUCGGCCACAUUGGGACUGAGACACGGCCCAAACUCCUACGGGAGGCAGCAGUAGGGAAUCUUCCACAAUGGACGCAAGUCUGAUGGAGCAACGCCGCGUGAGUGAAGAAGGUUUUCGGAUCGUAAAGCUCUGUUGUUGGUGAAGAAGGAUAGAGGUAGUAACUGGCCUUUAUUUGACGGUAAUCAACCAGAAAGUCACGGCUAACUACGUG